rnacentral:misc_RNA from 1 species
ACUGGAAUGAAAAAUUUCAAAUCACAAUUUCAAAAAUAGAAAUCAGCUCAAUUUAACAGCAUUGAAUAAAAGUUUAACAUAGUAUUUUGCUAAAUCCACAAAAAAUAUUUAAAACCACCCGCAUGGUGAAACAACAAAUCUAAUGCUCAAAUCUUUAAAUGCCCAAAAAUCACUAUUCUACAUCAGAGUUUACUUGAUCUUCUUCUUAG